rnacentral:rRNA from 1 species
AUUGAACGCUGGCGGCAGGCUUAACACAUGCAAGUCGAGCGGGGUGAUGGUGCUUGCACUAUCACUUAGCGGCGGACGGGUGAGUAAUGCUUAGGAAUCUGCCUAUUAGUGGGGGACAACAUCUCGAAAGGGAUGCUAAUACCGCAUACGUCCUACGGGAGAAAGCAGGGGAUCACUUGUGACCUUGCGCUAAUAGAUGAGCCUAAGUCGGAUUAGCUAGUUGGUGGGGUAAAGGCCUACCAAGGCGACGAUCUGUAGCGGGUCUGAGAGGAUGAGCAGCCACACUGGGACUGAGACACGGCCCAGACUCCUACGGGAGGUAGCAGUGGGGAAUAUUGGACAAUGGGGGGAACCCUGAUCCAGCCAUGCCGCGUGUGUGAAGAAGGCCUUAUGGUUGUAAAGCACUUUAAGCGAGGAGGAGGCUCUUUUGGUUAAUACCCAAGAUGAGUGGACGUUACUCGCAGAAUAAGCACCGGCUAACUCUGUGCCAGCCGCCGCAGUAA